rnacentral:ribozyme from 1 species
UGAAGCUAGAGGCAGAGGGCAACAACAGAAAGAAUGAUAAAGGAGGGAAGAGGAGAAGGAAAGAAGAGGAACCGAAUGGGAAGAAACAGAGGCAAAGGCCUCUUUCCCUCUUCGUUCAGUUAUUCAUUUAUUUAUUUAUUUAUCUGUUCAUU